UACAGAGGGUGCAAGCGUUAAUCGGAUUUACUGGGCGUAAAGCGCAUGCAGAUGGCUUUGUAAGUCGGAUGUGAAAUCCCCGGGCUUAACCUGGGAACUGCACUCGAAACUGCAAGGCUAGAAUGUGGAAGAGGGAAGUGGAAUUCCGGGUGUAGCAGUGAAAUGCGUAGAUAUCGUGAGGAACACUCGUGGCGAAAGCGAGCUACUGGACAACUCCUGACGCUGAGGCUCGAAGGCCAGGGUAGCGAAAGGG
rnacentral:misc_RNA from 1 species